AGAGAAUGAAUGGGCUGGACAUUGCCGAGAGAUGAGUUUCAACACCGGUUGAAUAUGGCAGGUGUCAAUAAACGUCGGCAAAAAAGCUCAUUACAGUAAAUUGUUGUCAGGAGCACAGUUACAGUCACCAACACUCUGGAUAACAUGAAAACAGCCUAACCAACUCUGCUAGGGCGAGUAAAAUGGUCAGAAUUUGGGUGGGGGCUAAAGGUGUGGAUGUUUCUUAUGAUAUUGCACUCGGUCAGUGUGAACCAGAGUGACUUGACACAGCAACGGGACAAGCAAGCUGUAAAUACAAAACGGAAACAACACAGGACUUCUUAUUUCAUUAAAUGGGUUGCAGGCUGCCGUGAAGCUUUAAUCCAUGUGACAUUAACGUGUACGGCAUCAAUAGGACACACUUGACAAUCCUCCACCAGUCAUACAAAGAGAAUGGUCUAAUGCCCAACCAAGCACAGGUUACACCUGAAGCAUGAGGACUUGUAGCGAGUGGUGAACUUCAUCAACAACUACGCAGAGGAUAAUAAUGCACUAGUAUUACCUGGACGCCACUCAGGACACAAACACUUUGGUGGAAAGCUGCUACCAUCUCAUAUGACAAAAGCAGCAGUGUGGCGUCUCUACAAGGAAUCGAUGACAACUCUUUAAGCUGUUAAGUCAGCCAAGCUGAAGAAGCAAGAGAAGCAUCUCCAGCUUGUUCAGUGAGCAGUCUGUCUACCAGAAGAUGGCUGCUGACUACAAGACCACCUGUCAAGACCUGCAGUUGUCUCUGGGGGCCCCUACUGAACCAGCAAGCAAAGACAUCAGGAUGCAUUACAGCUUUGAUUUUGCUCAACAACCAGGCCCCAUCUACUUAUGAACUCCUCGCAAGUGUGUCUUGUUUGGUGUCUGCUGUGAAGGAAUACCACAAGUCAACACGCCAUCCAGCAAAGGCAGCAGCGCAGUCAUCAACUACAUGCACCAUUUCUUCACCAACUACGGAGUUGGGGAAACAAGUCUGGACCGGAAUUGUGAUAACUGCAGUGGACAAAAUAAGAACAUGUUUGUGCUCUGGUAUUGUGCCUGGUGAACCAUGCACAAGCUCCACCACAGUUUGGCCCUUCACUGCCUGAUCACAGGCCACACCAAGUUUCCCCCGACUGGUACUUGGACCUCCUCAAGACCAGAGUGAACACUUUGUCUGAGAUUGCUGGUGUUGUGAAGGACGGCACUGUGACGGGUCAACAUCCCACCUCUGGUUGGAUUGAAGGAUGAUACGGUGCUGGUGGAAAGCUAUGGCUGGCAACAACACCUGACUCUGUUUCACAGAUCAAGCAGUACCAGCACUUCAGCUUCGAUGCUCUGGAGACUGGUGUUGUCACAAUGCUGACACCCUUCCUUCCAUAGAUGGUCUGCCCGUAUAUGCACCACCUGAACUGGACACAACCUGACAAACGUAUCUUUUUGAGAAGAUUGGGGAGUUUUGCGAAUAAGGCUAUGGACAUUAUAUGCCCUGCACCGGAGUCAGAGGCAGGACAAACAGGCUCUCCGAAUAUAGAUUCCCAUGUUCAUGCGUGGUUUGGACGGACCAGUCAUCAGCACUAUCUGCAGUGCCUCUAUUCAUGACUCUCUCCUAACACGCACGCCAUAUGUUGCUGCUACUAUUUUAUUUUAUUCUGCUUCCAUUUUACCCCUGAUUGUAUGCAUAUAACUACUCAUCUAUCACUGAUAUUGCUCUUGUGCAUACUGUAUAUUAUUUUAUUGAUAUUGACACUAUCCAUUUCUGAAAAUCCAAGUAACCAUUUGACUGUACCGUUUACAUCUUCUGUAGAGACCCAUCCACUUAGCAAGACUUAGCAAAAUAUUGAUAUAUAAAAUUAAUUUUGACGUGUGGUCGUAACAUGAUUUUGUAACAUACCACAAUAUCAUGUGACCGUAUCAAGUGUUCACCACAUAAAUAUAUGGUGCAUAAGUCGCUCUGGAUAAGAGCGUCUGCUAAAUGACUUAAAUGUAAAUGUAAAUGUGCAUGCAUCUGUAUAUGUACUGUACAUGUGCACCUCACUCAGGUUGCAUGGCCUUAACCUAUGUAUGGAAUACUAUAUGAUAAGUGUGUGUGUGUAACAGUAUAUAAAGUAUGCUAAUUAAUGGAUGUGAAGGCAUUUUUGGGGGAUAUCUGUACAUUACUUUACUAUUUAUAUUUUUGGCAACUUUUACUUCACUACAUUCCAAAAGUAAAUUAACAUUUUACUCCAUACAUUUUCCCUGACACCCAAAGGUACUUGUUACAUUAUGAUGGGAAAAUUGUCUAAUUCAAACACUUAUGAAGAGAACAUCUCUGCUGCAUUUGAUCUGGCAGACUCACUAAACACAAAUGCUUUGUUUGUAAAUUAUGUCUGAGUGUUGUAGUGUUCCCCUGGCUUUUCGUUAAUAAAAAAAUAUGUCUGGU